CGUUGCAUUACAGGGCAAGUUCUCCACUGGCAGGUGGCCACUCGCUGCGAAACUUUCGGGGGAAAAUAUUUUUUCCUGGGAAAAUCGGAUGCGUUUUCUGAGUGUGCUCUCUGCCAAAGGAGAUUUGUCCGGCAAUUCUUCU
rnacentral:pre_miRNA from 1 species